UCAGUGAAACUGGCUCUCCCUCUCAUCCAGAGUCAUGAUCCCUUUAAAUGUUUUGACUGUGCCAAGGGAUGCCCAUUUGUUUAAGGAGGCUCUAUUCACUGCCUCCCUUGGGUGUUGUGCCUGUGGUUAGGAGGGCUGCCUUGCUUGGUCCAUUUCUGAGGGCCUUUUCAAUAAAUCACUUCUUUCUCCUCCCUGAGUUUGUUUCCUGGACACUUACUGAUUGUGGUGAGCAUCCACGACUCCCACGGUGUCUUCAAGCUAUUACAGCAAAGAGAGCCGACUAUAGAGCAGACAUGGGUUCCGAAUUCUACUUUCCUGGGGACACUGACCUCUCCGUAGGGACAAUGACAGGAUGCCUGGCAGUGACCAGCACUCUAGGGACUUUGUGAGCACUGGAGAGAUAUGAGAGAUAUUCUCACCUUGACAUUUAACCUAAGAGAUUAUAAAGUGGACUUUUGGAUGGCUAGACAACAAAAUAACCAUGGCUCGGGUUUCAAAAAUGAGUGCCUCGCUCUAACAUUCUAAACACUCUAAUACACUUCCUUCAUAAUUGACGAGGAAUCCUGAGCACAAAGACAGACAACCCACACUGUCCCCUGCCCCAGCCGUCCUGCUCAUUGUGACGCUGUCCACAGUGUCUGCACUUAACCUGCCACCAAAAUGACUAGAAACUCAGAGAGGAGUCUUUUCCA
rnacentral:lncRNA from 1 species